rnacentral:antisense_RNA from 1 species
CGGUGCGCCGCCAGAUGGCUGCCCUGGGAGAAGCGGCGGCCGCACUCCUCGCAGGCGAAGGGUCGCUCGCCGGAGUGCACGCGCGAGUGCGCCACCAGCCCCGGACAGGAGCUGCCAUCUAUGAACCCCUAGAGCCCUGGACAUGGAGCUAGACUACUCUCCUGUUUCCUUGUGUGCCUCCAUUAGAGGAAAUGUCUCUUCUCCCAGUCAGGAGUUAACCACCUGCUGUAACUUCCUCUUCAGCAUCGCCAGAGGAAACUAAGUAUGACUGUGCCUUCACUCUGCAGAAAGAAAAUGAGUGGCAAAGGAGUUGCGAAGGGAUUCCUGAGCCUUUAUGCCAGCUGGAAGCUUAAGGCCUUGGUAUUUGAGACUUCACCCUUCAAAAUGUCUCAGACCCAGCAACCAGCCAAAUGGCCCAAUGGCCUAGCCCAGUGGAGACGGUCUCAGCUUUUGACAAGCUAGCCGGAGAAAGGGCUGGACAGGAAGGGGCCCACUGGACAGCGAAUAUUGAUAGGGCCCCUGGGAGGAUCAAUUUUCCCCUCCAACAGUGCCUGGCUCCCAUUAUCAGAUU